rnacentral:rRNA from 1 species
AGUGAACGCUGGCGGUAGGCCUAACACAUGCAAGUCGAACGGCGGCACAGUAAGAGUUUGCUCUUACGGGUGGCGAGUGGCGGACGGGUGAGGAAUACAUCGGAAUCUACUUUUUCGUGGGGGACAACGUAGGGAAACUUACGCUAAUACCGCAUACGACCUACGGGUGAAAGCAGGGGAUCUUCGGACUUUGCGCGAUUGAAUGAGCCGAUGUCGGAUUAGCUAGUUGGCGGGGUAAAGGCCCACCAAGGCGACGAUCCGUAGCUGGCCUGAGAGGAUGAUCAGCCACACUGGAACUGAGACACGGUCCAGACUCCUACGGGAGGCAGCAGUAGGGAAUAUUGGGCAAUGGGCGCAAGCCUGAUCCAGCCAUGCCGCGUGAGUGAAGAAGGCCUUCGGGUUGUAAAGCCCUUUUAUUAGGGAAGAAAAGCAGCAGGUUAAUACCCCGCUGUUCUGACGGUACCCAAAGAAUAAGCACCGGCUAACUUCGUG